rnacentral:misc_RNA from 1 species
GAUGAAGAACGUAGCGAAAUGCGAUAAGUAAUGUGAAUUGCAGAAUUCAGUGAAUCAUCGAAUCUUUGAACGCACAUUGCGCCCCCCAGUAUUCUGGCGGGCAUGCCUGUUCGAGCGUCAUUUCAACCAUCAAGCCCUGCUUGUGUUGGGGUCCUGCGGCUGCCCGCAGGCCCUGAAAACCAGUGGCGGGCUCGCUAGUCACACCGAGCGCAGUAGCACAUCUCGCUCAGGGCGUGCGGCGGGCUCCAGCCGUUAACGCACCCACCUUUCGCAAGGUUGACCUCGGAUCAGGUAGGAAUACCCGCUGAACUUAAGCAUAUCAAUAAGCGGAGGA